CUCCAGAUCACCGCUGGUCGCGCACGUCUCCGCCGGUGUGAAGUCAACGCCGACUCCCGCGUCUCUUCCUCGCCUUUCUGCUCAGAUCGAGCAGGGCAGGAACGGGCCGGCGGCGGCUCGUCUCUUUUCUCUCUCAAGAUCUUGCAAGGGAUAGUAUGCAAAACAAAAGCAUCUUCUCGUGGAUCUUCCAGCCAUCAAGCUUGCAGAUAGUGCAGAGGUUACAGAAGAGACCAUAUUAAUAUCAUUGAGGCGAGCCCUUGCUCAACACUCUGCUCUGCAAGCGGACGAUGGACACUGGGCUGUCGACUUCAGUGCAAUUAUGUUCAUUAUGCCUAUCUUGGUGUGUUCUUUAUUUACAUAUGGCACUAUAUUUUGAGCGACAGCGAGCGUGCCCGAGCGAGGAGAGGUCGGCGGCGGCUGGUACCCUGUGUACCCAUCAGUAAUGGUUCAACGAAUCCAACCUACACGCUUUUUAUUUUCGUUUCUUAGGUCCUUAGGCUGCUGAACGUGCCAUUGCAGACGAAGUGGGAGUCUCACAGGGAGGAGGAUCCGCCGCACCCUCCUUGCUGCCUGUGCGCCGAGGGUGAAUUGGCGCUGCUCAGGCAGGCGGCGGGCACCAUACUUUCUUCCAGGACUGUGCCAAAAGGAUUUGAAGUAUUCUCCAUCUACAUGCUUCCAGGACUUCCUGCACCACCUCUCAUCUUCCUCCCGAUCAAGAUCGUGCCAAAAGAAUUGAUACUAACAAGAUGUGCAGAACAUGUAAGAGCCUACAGCAACACCCUCCAUGAAACAAGAGGGAAA